UAAAAAGUUAGUUAAAUUAUAAUAUUAGGUUGUCAGCCUGACGUUACUAAUUAAAUUUAGUACUUUUUAA
rnacentral:tRNA from 1 species